UGUUCACCGAGAAAAGGUUUGCACCACCGGAACAGCCGGUUUAAGCCAUCUUAAAGCAUUUUAAAGAUGUUGACGGAUUGUGUUCACCGAGUGAAAGUUUGCACCACCGGAACAGCCGGUUUAAGCUAUCUUAAAGCAAUUUAAAGAUGGUGACGGAUUGUGUUCACCGAGAAAAAGUUCGCACCACCGGAACUGCCGGUUUAAGCCAUCUUAAAGCAUUUUAAAGAUGGUGACGCAUUGUGGUCACCGAGAAAAAGAUUGCACCAGCGGAACAGCCGGUAUAAGCCAUCUUACAGCAUUUUAAAGAUGCUGACGAAUUGUUUACAGGAAAGGAGUUGGCAGCNCCGGAGGAGCCGGUUCGGGUCAUUUUAAAGCAGUCUAAAGAUGGUGACGCAUUGUGUUCACCGAGUGAAAGUUUGCACCACCGGAACAGCCGGUUUAAGCCAUCUGAAAGCAUUUUAAAGAUGGUGACGGAUUGUGUUCACCGAGAAAAAGUUUGCACCACCGGAACUGCCGGUUUAAGCCAUCUUAAAGCAUUUUAAAGGUG